CCGAGACCAGCCCCCUCCGCCGCCCCCCCCCCCCCCGCCGAGAACCCCGCUGCUCGCCCCACACCCCCUCCCGGCGGCCGGGGUUCCUUGUGCCAAGAAUCGCCUGCCUUAACGUCUGGGGAGGGGUCGCAGCAGCGGGGGCCGCCGGCGCCCAUGGGCGGGCGCCCUCCCCCACCCCGUCCCAGCCCGGAGGGGCCGCCGAGCUCAAACAUGCGGGUACAUUCCAGACGCCUCCCCUCCCCGGCGCCCCCACCCCCGCCGCCAGUUCACUUUACCUUUCGGCACCUUGAUGACACGCAGGGAGAGACAGACCCCGGGAAACAGGAAAAAACAAACAAACAAACCGAUUCCACGGAGGAGACACCCGCACGCACGGAAUCCCCGCCGGGCGGCGCCGGGCCUGCAGGGGAGGCAGGGGGCGAGCCCGCGCUCGCGACUCUCUCUCCAAGGAGCUGAAGCCGAUGCUGAGGAAGCUCGUCUCUCUUCCCUUCCUGGUGACCUCCAAGGUGACCUCCAAGGCUGGCCGGCAGCUGGAUCCCAAGAACCCCACUCCCCACGGUUCAAGACCUGGAGGCUAGAAGGAACCUCGCCCCCCAAACCCCGGCGCGUCCACUGCCUCCCAGGGAGGUAGUCACCCCCCUCCCCCCUUGAGAAUGCAAAAGACAUUUCUAGUGAAAUGCCCCCCCCCCCCCAGGUAAAGGCUACCUCACUUCAAACGUUCUUGUCUGUGAUUGGAUAAAUCACGCCUGAUACCAAAGAUUCCCCCCAAGGACCUGUGCUGGACGCUGAAAUGCCCCGCCUGGGAACAGGUGUGCCCUCAGGUGCGCCCCGCUCCCUAGCAAUGAGAGAGAGAGAGAGAGAGAGAGAGAGGGAGCGAGACAAGGAGAGAGAGAGAGGGAGAGAGAGAGGGAGACAGGGAGAAGAGAAGAAGGAGGGAGACAGGAUACGGAGGUCGAUGAGUGCCUUUUUCUGGAGCCAAAGAUGUGUGUGAAAUGUUCUCUUGUCCUUAUCGACUCACUAUUCUCCCGGCUUUUUAAGCAACCGAUCCGAGUGAUGCUUCUAGAACCUUUGGGUGUUGGGGCAGAAUCCUGAGUCCUUGUCCCCGCUCAGCAACCGUCCCCCCAAACGCGCACAUGCGUGCGCCCGCGCACACACACACACACACGCACGCACGCACACACACUGCUGUCCUUUCUGUGGUGGCGCUGGGCACUGGAGUCUGGGUGGACGUGACCCCUUCCUUCUGUGCCCACUAUCACCUGGGCCCCACUGGACAGACCUCCUGCUGGCAGGGGACAGGGCUUCUCCCACCCUCUGUGCUGGGCAAGUCAUUUGCUCAAGGAUCAGAGGCCAGAGGUCUCUGUUGUGUCCCCUGUUGGAAAGUUAGGAACCGGCUUGGGACCAUUCUGAUUGUGGAACUUUCUCACUACGGUGACCUGUGGUCAGAUCGGGUCAAGUCCCACCAGCCCCGGGUCACAGAAGCAGCCCCAGAGUCCAGGGUCCCUUUCAAACACACACACACACACACACACACACACACACACACACCAGCUCCGUAGUAGCCCCCCCCUCCAGCGGGCCCUCACCCCACCCUCCCCCUGACGCCCAGCUGUUGUCACCAAAGACCAUUCUCCACGCAGGGAAUGACGUAUCCAGCACAGCUCCUUCGAGCCUUUGACAAUUUUCUCUGAAAUACCUCAAAAUAUUUAAUGUAUAGUUUAUGUGAUAAAAAAAAAAAUCCUUAGCUAGUUUUUGGAAUACGUGACUUGAAGCUUUAUACCGUUAAAUUAUAAUUUUGCAGACGAUGGUAUGUCGUUUCUUUGAAGAGUUCCGUGGGAGACAUAUUGAAUGUCAGGGCAGUGAGAGCCGGGCGGUCAGAGGCCAAGGGCAAGGCAGCGAGCGCGGGAGGCGGAGAGCGCGGACCGGCGUUUACAGAUUUCUUAUUCAAACGAGUCCUUUAGGAAAGGCAGGAAGAGAGAAGGUGCACCUUUCUUCUCUCUGGUGUGUUGUUUCUCGUUUUCUGGAGUCAUGUCUUAUAAGAGUAUUUAUUAUUCUAUGUGUCCUGUGUUCAAAUGUACUUUAAGAAAAAAAAAAAAGGAAGAAAAAUGAAAAAAAAAAAAAAAGACAGUGGAAUUUGAUUUGAUGCAUGACUACUGUGCUCGGGGUGGGGCGGGGGGUGGGGGGGCCGCUCAGGGCCCCAAGAUUCCGUGUCGCAUGGUUGUGUUUCGUGCCGAGUUCGGGUUCGGUCGGGGCUUCUUUGCGCUGCUCUGUGUUCGUUUUCCCCUUUCUAAGGAUCUGUGUCCAGUGGCGGGAGGGGGACGAGGCCUCAGGGGGACGGGAAGGCGGAGGAGGCAGCGGACCCCCAGACCCCCGUCUCCACCUCCCGCUGCCCACAUGCCACCUGCCCGUGCCAGCCGAGGGGCGGGGGGGGCCUGGGCCUCCAGCUCCUGGUUCUUGGGCGCAGGAGGGUGUCGCUGCCCCCUCCCCCAGCCCGGCUGGUUUCACGCUAGCAUGAAUUCCCAAGUGUCUUGUUCACAGGAGAGAGACAAUCAGCCAAUUCGAGUCUUGUCGCCCAGGGGGAGCGGGGCCGGGGUGUACCCCAACUUCUGAGAUCCGAAGGGCCCUCUCGAGACACCCGCUGCCCCCAGGCAGGCCCCCAGCCGGACUCCUCCCACACCCUCAGCCUCCUCAGCCCCCUUCCCUCCGGCCUGAAAUGGGGGGGGGGUGCACAUCUGUGGAGCCCUCCCUCCCAGCCCACGUCGGGACCCUAGAGAACAGAGAGGCCCCCCCAAAAAUCGUGAAAGCGGGCUCUGGGGCAGUACCCCUGCCUGUGACUCCACUUGGGCUGAGCUCACACCAGGGCAGAGCCCGCCUCCCAAGACAGCCGGGGAAGGGGGCUUGGGGUAGUGAAGGGAGGUUCACCCCAAGGACCCGAGGCCCCAGAUCAGAGGGCAGGGGUGCGGCACACACAGUCCAGGGCUCCCCCUACCCAGCCCAGCGCCGGCUGGAACGUGGGCCAUUUCCCAGAGUAAACCACACCUGCCCCUCGGUCCCGGCUCCCCACUGUGGUCCUGGCAGACAACCCCCCCCCAGAGGGCUGGUUUUGGGGGGGCCUUCUCUUCAGCCAGGGGUGAGGGAGGACCAAGAGGCCGCUUGGCCCUGAGUGUUUAAUCAAGACUGGACACUGGGGCGGCUUUGGGGGUGGGCACCAACUACGUCAUCCAAAGUUCCCCCCCCUCCCCGAUGCUAGAUGCUAGAGGGAACAGAAGCCCUGUCCCUCCCACCCUCAGGUGACAGGCUUAAAAGUUAAAAAAAAAAAAAAAAAAAAAAAAUCAUCGUCAUUGUUAACCACUGCUGUGCUGGAUUUGUUGUUCUGUUUUUCUCCAAUAAAUUAUUUUGUACUCA